AGACUCAGAUUAGUUCUGCUGACAAGCCCAGAAGUAUAUUACUCCAACACUGUUAGGAACUGCAGUGGAAGGGAGCAGGAGGUGGCCUCACUAACGAAGUGCCCCGGUGAAACUCAUAGUGGGACAGGGAGCGUGGAGAACAAAGGAAAACUGCAGUGGAAGGAAAGAUGUACAAGCUUGAGAACAGGAAUCAGGAGUGAAUGAGGAAAGGUUAUAAGAAUGUCCUGCUGAACCCAGAACCAUGGGAUACAUUAGGCAAAGUCUUGGAUGUGAAAACCCUUGAUUUUUUUAUUGCACAAUUUUUUUAUGGUCUCAGGAAAUCAUUUUGAAAAUCAUGUAGAGCAAAGAGAACAUAGAAAUAAAUUAUUCCUGCAAUAGGGUUAAACUUGGAAA
rnacentral:lncRNA from 1 species